GACGAACUGUCCUAACGUUGUUCGGAAUCACUGGGCUUAAAGGGCGCGUAGGCGGUCCGACAAGUCGGGGGUGAAAUCCUGCAGCUCAACUGCAGAAGUGCCUUCGAUACUGUCGGUCUUGAGGGAGAUAGGGGUGUGCGGAACUUCCAGUGGAGCGGUGAAAUGCGUUGAUAUUGGAAGGAACGCCGGUGGCGAAAGCGGCGCACUGGAUCUCUUCUGACGCUGAGGCGCGAAAGCUAGGGGAGCAAACGGG
rnacentral:rRNA from 1 species